rnacentral:rRNA from 1 species
AACGAACGCUGGCGGCGCGCCUAAUACAUGCAAGUCGAGCGAGAAGACGUAGCAAUACGUUUGUAAAGCGGCGAACGGGUGAGGAAUACAUGGGUAACCUACCCUCGAGUGGGGAAUAACUAGCCGAAAGGUUAGCUAAUACCGCGUACGCUCCUUGGACUUCGGUUCAGGGAGGAAAGCGAUACCGUGGGUAUCGCGCUCUUGGAUGGGCUCAUGUCCUAUCAGCUUGUUGGUGAGGUAACGGCUCACCAAGGCUUCGACGGGUAGCUGGUCUGAGAGGACGAUCAGCCACACUGGCACUGCGACACGGGCCAGACUCCUACGGGAGGCAGCAGUAAGGAAUAUUGCGCAAUGGGCGAAAGCCUGACGCAGCGACGCCGCGUGGGGGAGUGGAAGGUC